GCCUCCCAAAAGGUAACGGAGGCGCUCAAAGGUUCUCUCAGUACGGUCGGAAAUCGUACGUAGAGUGUAAAGGCAAAAGAGAGCUUGAUUGCAAGACAUACAGGUCGAGCAAGGAUGAAAAUCGGACUUAGUGAUCCGGUGGUUCUGCGUGGAAGGGCCAUCGCUCUACGGAUAAAAGCUACCCUGGGGAUAACAGGCUUAUCUCCCCCAAGAGUCCACAUCGACGGGGAGGUUUGGCACCUCGAUGUCGGCUCAUCACAUCCUGGGGCUGUAGUAGGUCCCAAGGGUUGGGCUGUUCGCCCAUUAAAGUGGUACGCGGGCUGGGUUCAGAACGUCGUGAGACAGUUCGGUCCCUAUCCGUCGCAGGCGUAGGAAAUUUGAGAAGACCUGUCCUUAGUACGAGAGGACCGGGAUGGACGUACCUCUGGUGUACCAGUUGUCCUGCCAAGGGCAUGGCUGGGUAGCUAUGUACGGAAUGGAUAAGCGCUGAAAGCAUCUAAGCGCGAAGCCAACUUCAAGAUAAGAUUUCCCACCGCAAGGGUAAGACCCCAGAAAGACUAUCUGGUUG
rnacentral:rRNA from 1 species